AACUAUGAGAAAUUAAUCAUCCUCUGUCGGUCGGUCUUGGUCAUUCCUAUCAUCAUUUUGGUCAUUUUUUAUUGCUGGAGAAAAAACAACAAUCACCUCAAAGGCCAUUCUGAUCAGAGUUCAAACUGUGAUCAAGCUGCCGCAGUCUAUAUGAAUGUGAGUCUGUUAGGAGCCCCUCCUCUCCCUUUAGAACCCGCCGACAUGGAACUAAACCCAAUAUGGGCUUAGGGGGUUGCUGGUCCAAUCCCUGACUACUAAUGUCAGGUGGUCCUUGUGCAAGAUGCUGAUAAUAAAAAUAGGGUUAGGGUUAGUUUUUAUAUUUUUAUAUUUCCCGAAAUGUUGGAAAUACAAACAUUUUGUACAGA